rnacentral:misc_RNA from 1 species
CGAGAGCCUAUGUAUGAAGGUGAGGUGAUUCUUGCGGAACAGGCUGAUAAAACUGUGAGGCCAAAUGAUGAAAUCACACUACAAGAAGGGGAACUGAUAAGGAACUUUUUGAAGAACAGUGCUAGUCAGCUGACUUUUUAUGGCCUUUUUUGCUUACAAGAUGGCCUCAAAGAACGUGAACUUUGUGUUUUUUUCCGUAACAAUCACUUCAGCACUAUGUUUAAGUAUGAUGGUGAACUUUAUCUUUUAGCUACAGACCAAGGUUACUUGAACCAGCAUGAUUUGGUGUGGGAGAAACUAAAUGAGG